AGCCACACAACUGCUGUUCUGUAUCGGGUGGAUACAUAAAACGUAGCUUCACCAGUUGGACGUUCAAGCCCAGACUGGAAUCUACCCAGGACACCAGAGGAACACCUCUACUCUUACAAACUGUGCUAUGUACUUCUGGCCUACAGUACCUAUUCAUACAGAUGGAUGGACUGAAGUAAUCGCAGUGAAAACACAGGUUCAAGGAUAGGAGCAGUUUAUAAAGACCUCUGACGUGUAUGUUUUUAAUCAGUUUCGUAGUGCGAUGUUAUGCCAAGUGCCCCCUAUGGGUCACAUGAACGAAUUCUCGCUGUCUCGUGUAUCCUGGAGAAGUGGAAAGAGCAGGAUCCCGCAGCAGCCACGAGGAAUGUGUUUUUCCAUGGUUGAGGAAAGCUUCGUAAAACGUUUCGGCAAACAAAGAAAUUCAUAGCUACAUUUGAUCAUGUUCAAGGCCGCGCUGCGCAGAAGAGGCGUGUCCGGGGCGCCCUGCGUGCGCAGCCUCGCUCCGUCAUGCUGGGAGCGAGCGCACAGGAGCGGCCGGGCUCGGGGCGCAGGAGCCGAAAACAGGAAAACAAAACGGAGGUGAGCAGGAGGGCGGCGCUGUGAGAGGCUGGCAGGAGAUGCCCGUCCGGCCCUGAGUGCGGA